rnacentral:lncRNA from 1 species
GUGCCUGAUGUUCAUAUGAUGAAAUCAUAAUCUUUCAGUCAGUUUAAUUGAAGUCUGGAGCUGGCAUGUCAGUUAACUGCUAGUAGUCUGUUGUUAUUUAUGUAUUAUUGUCAUUUUGUUUAUUUUCUUUGGUUACAUCUUCUGACAUCAGACUCGGACUUCUCUUGAACUGAAUUUUAAUGUGCGUAUUGUUAUGCGUUUACUUUUCUACAUUGGUUAGAGGUAUAGGGGAGGGUUGAGAUCUCACAAACAUGUUUAACCCCGCCGCAUUUUUGCGCCUGUCCCAAGUCAGGAGCCUCUGGCCUUUGUUAGUCUUGUAUUAUUUUAAUUUUAGUUUCUUGUGUACAAUUUGGAAAUUAGUAUGGCGUUCAUAUCACUGAACUAGUAUAUAUUUGUUUAGGGGCCAGCUGAAGGACGCCUCCGGGUGCGGGAAUUUCUCGCUACAUUGAAGACCUGUUGGUGACCUUCUGCUGUUGUUUUUUAUUUGGUCGGGUUGUUGUCUCUUUGACACAUUCCCCAUUUCCAUUCUCAAUUUUAUU